CCUACGGUGUGCAGCAGUGGGGAAUAUUGGACAAUGGGCGAAAGCCUGAUCCAGCCAUGCCGCGUGUGUGAAGAAGGCCUUCGGGAUGUAAAGCACUUUCAGUGGGGAAGAAAGCCUUGGGGCUAAUACCCUCGAGGAAGGACAUCACCCACAGAAGAAGCACCGGCUAACUCCGUGCCAGCAGCCGCGGUAAUACGGAGGGUGCGAGCGUUAAUCGGAAUUACUGGGCGUAAAGCGCGCGUAGGCGGUCUGAUAAGCCGGUUGUGAAAGCCCCGGGCUCAACCUGGGAACGGCAUCCGGAACUGUCAGGCUAGAGUGCAGGAGAGGAAGGUAGAAUUCCCGGUGUAGCGGUGAAAUGCGUAGAGAUCGGGAGGAAUACCAGUGGCGAAGGCGGCCUUCUGGACUGACUCUGACGCUGAGGUGCGAAAGCGUGGGUAGCAAACAGGAUUAGAUACCCCUGUAGUC
rnacentral:rRNA from 1 species